AUUCGGGAUGCUGCAAAGGAAGAUAGGGAAAUAAAACAAUAGUUUUGAUAUUUAUUGUAUUUUGUAUUUAUUACAGUGGUGACAAUAACUUUGUAUUUUGGUGAGCAAAAUCUUGUACUUUCAACAAAGAAUGACAAGAAUUACAAAUUGUUCCUGGGGUUUGAGGUACUGCGUUUCAUAGCAGCAAAAGUUAAAUGCAAAGAAAAGCUGAAUUAUAUCUCUGAGCAUGUCAUCUAAUAAUAAGAACUAAUGACAUGGAUGGUUGCAAAUAUUUAAUACCUUUUCUGCUAAGAUACAAAUCAAGGACAAUGAUGAUACUGAUUACUAAAAUGAGAUUUAAUCUUGGCUGUACAUAGACAGCAGCAUAAUUUUAUUCUGAAAAUUUUACAAUUAUUAGAAUUCAAGCCCAAUAUUGUGGUAGUAUGUACCUUUCAUACUGACCUUGCUUAUGAUUAGCAGCAGAAUUUUAAACACAAGACUCUCUUCACACCAAGAGGACAGCUCUCUGACUGCUGAGCUACUGCGCUAAUUCUUGCAGUUGAAAGAUCAUUUAUGUAAACUAAUAUCCGUGUCUUUAGUUUUAUGAAAAUGCACAUAUUCAGGUUGUGCAUGUGAAGAGACAUUGCUUUAGUAUGCAAGAGGUUUGCAACUUUAGCAGGACAAGGCAGACCUCCAGAACUUGGAGGAGAUUUCUACAUACUUGGAGGAGAAUUUACAGGAGAAAACACAUUAAUAGCUAAGAAUGGGAUUCCUCAUUCCAAAUUUUAAAAACUACUUUGUACAUCUGAGCUAGCAGUUGAGGUUAAUAAGAAUAGUGGCACUGACUCAGACUAGAAGUCCAGCUAGCCCCAUAUCCUGUCUCCAUCUAUGGCCAUAGCACAUUCGUACAGCUGUGUGUAAGACAAGGAAAAGCACAUACUGACAUUUCCCUGGGACAUUCUUCAAGGCCCAGUAAUUUAUGGGUGAAGGACUUGCCCACGUGGCAGUGGUACAUUGAAGUGGAAGGGAAAGGGGUGUUCCUCCAUGAAUUCAUCCAACUGAUUUCUGAGUCCAUGUAAAUUUUUAGCGUUCAAAGCAUCAUAUAGAAGUUAAGCGGCCACCACUUAAUUGUGUGUGUGAAAAAUUAUCCCUUUUUUUUUCAUGUCAAAUCUUUUACUACUUUAACAGUGGAAAAGAUGAAAAUUGUUCUCUGUUUGCUUUAUUCAUGUCAUUCAUCUCAAUCUUUCUUUCUGGCCUUCAGAAGAUUAUUUAAAUUUCUUUUUUCCUAGAAGUCCUGUCAUGUCAUGGAUUAAAUCCACACAUUUACAGAGUAGCAUAAAAACAUCUACUUUUUUCUUCUCCGAAUGAGUCCUUUGCUUCCCCCCUCCCCCCUCAAGUGGUUAUAUCUAUUACAACCCCUCAGUCUUAUUCUUUAGUGCGAAGUUAUCUCAAAGCUCACCACAGCUGUGACUGCUUUCACCAAGUGCAUUACUUUAUAUAAUUCUGCACUGAAUUCUGUUUGAUGUUUUAUCACUCAUGAGGGUCUUCUGCAAUGCUUAGGUGACAGCUUUAGUCUUUACUACCCAGUAACGUAGUUUCAUCUGCAAAUGUUGUUAUCCUCGUAACUCAUCUUCUUUCCCAUAUUCACAGAGAUGCUGAACAGAACAAGUUCCAGAGAAGACUCAGGAUAAGUGGCUUCCUUCUAGAAGUUGUCCAUGUAAUUCAAUUUCUUUCCUAUCUUUUAGCCAGUUAUUGAUCCAGAUUUUCUGUGAGAUCUCACAGUACCAUUGACUGCUUUACCAUGAAUUACAAGUGUUCUGCUACAACGGCGAAUCCCAGAUGACAGCGCUUGUUGAUGAAUUCUGAUCCCCUGUUAGAGCAGACAUGGAAGACUGCAAGGAUCAGAUCACUGCUUUGAAGAUACAGUUCUCAUUCUUUCUCCUGCCUCCACACUGGUCAUUUCUGGAGAGAAUUAAGUGUUUAUUCUGAAUAAUGGAAUGCCAGACUUGUCCAGGCUGAUCCUUCCCAUAACUGUGAGGACAAGGAUGCCCAGGCAAAUCAAGUAUUCACAGGAAUGCUCCCAGUUUUUAGGGAGUAUAUGGAUUGUGCUUUGGACAGGCAAACUCAGUUCACUAAUAUGGUACACAAUGUGACACACCAACAGCUGGGCCAGUACAACCUGAAUGAGUACAGUAUUCUGGGACAAGGACAGAAACAAGAGAUGGGCUGCAGAAGGAUGCUGACAAUAUCUUAAGCCACUCAUUCUGCUGAAAAUAAUGUAUUGCAACCACAUAGUUCAUGCUGGAAGAAAACAUGGGAAUGUUUCCAAUGAAAAAAAAGUGCAUCAGGAAAGGCAUUAUACAGGAUGAAAAUGAGCCCUCUCAAACAAACGGAUAUGCAAAUAAUAGACAUUUCUCUGCACCAGUAAUGGGGCAAGUAGUCAUCAGAAACAGACAACUAGCAGGAAUGGACUUUAGAUCAGCAAAUCUGGAGGCCUAGCAUCCAAGUGCAUUUAUCAUCACAGCUACAAAGGAGGACAGUGCUAUUACUCUAUUUACAACUAAGAACCUGGGGCACAAAUAAGAACAAUGACUCACCAGAGGUCACAGGAAGUCUGUGGGAGAACUGGGAGGUGAACUCUAGUCAUUCAAGCCCAGGAUUAGAGACCUGAACUUGCCUCUUUGAUGGACUGAAAAUAUUUUCAUAAACUCAGAACAGGAAUUGUGGUGUGCUCUUUUAUAAUUUCUUAUGAGACUGCAAAUCUUGGAGGUGUAUCAAAUUAAACUCCAGCCUAUUUUUCUGUUUCCUUUUUUUCUCAGCUUUGACAACUACUCGUUAUCAGUGAAAGGAGAAAACUUCCUUGACAUAUUUGCAUUUGUUUACUUACUUUUCCUUGUCAUUUCAAUUUUAUAAUUAUAUUUCUGUAAUUUUUUCUGAGCUUUUCCUGGCCCUAUAUUUUACAGAAAAGUUAGAUUGCAUUGAUAUAUUACUAUUUGAUGGUUGAUAUAAUUCAGUUCUUCCCAAACUACACUCACUAGGUUUUAAUUUCCAUAUAUCACUGCCUAUAUUGGUGAAUAUUAAAUAUUAUCCUAUUUUCCUAUUUUCCUUUUUUAA